UCUGUGCGCUGCGUUCUGUCCCGUGCCCCCUGCCCUCGUGCCUUGAACCUCGUGCGCCCACCGCUAUCUCAGUGACUAAAGCUGGAGAACUGCAAGGCAAUCCCACUGUGCGCCACUCGGGAGCCGGGAGCCGGGAGUCCUGCUAAUAGCCUACCCUAGAAACGUUGUUUGCAGAAUUCACAGCCUGCUCUGCUUGUGAAAAACCGGAUGGAGAGAAACCGAAAGCCCACCAUUGCCUCAUGGUCUCGGCCGGCAUGGAACCAGCAUCUGUAGCAACGCAGUUUGCACAGCGGUGCAUUGUCGUAGACUGCUGCGCCACUCAGGAGGCCCCAUCCACAAAGUUUUUUAAUGCUGAUCAAUUGCCUUGCACAAAGUAUCAAAAUAAAGUAAACAAUUGUUGGAAAAAUUACUUGUGUCAUGCACAAAGUAGAUGUGCCAAAACUAUAGUUUGUUAACAAGAAAUUUGUGGAGUGGUUGAAAAUGAGUUUUAAUGACUCCAACCAAAGUGUAUGUAAACUUCCAACUUCAACUGUACAUCCUGGUCAAGGAGAAAACGCUGCGUCACCAUCUGACUGUUGCUGUGAACAACUAUUUUUGUAUUCCUGUGACUAAGGCAUCAUCCUUCAGUACCAGAACAACACGGCCACUGUCAGCGUCAUACCAGAUGAGUACAGGGUGAAGGUUCUGCCGGUCUUCAACUUGAUUUAUUGAUUGAUUGUUUUAAUGAUUCAUUGAUGUGUUUAAUGAUUCAUUCAUUGAUGUGCCAAAACAGUGUGUUGUUAAACUACUGAGACGGUGUACACUGUACAGUAUUUUCCUGUAUGUUGAUCAGUCCGUUUAUGUGUCAUUAUAGAGUUUUUGCAGAUUGCACUAGGCGGGUGGAUCUGAGCCCGCUUGAGACGAACUGUAGGUUUGAUUCGUGUGGGUGGAAUGACAUGGCUUGUUCUCCUAUGGAGCAGGCUGCUAAGGAGCGUAAAAAAGCAGGCAUCUGUGUGAACUGGAGACAACUCACCAAUGGGACCUGUGUUGUCGGGUGCCCAACAGGGAUGGUGUACAUGGAGUGUCAAGGCCAGUUGGAUGACUUCUGUUGUGAAUGAAUUCUGCUACCUUGCUCCUUAUAAUACUGUCUUGGUCGGUGUGUUGAGGGUAUACCGUACGGAAAGUGCAAAACAAUGGCUUAAUGUUCCCUUAGUAUAAUAGGUUUUUCAGCUAGUGCACAUCGGUCGAAAGGCCUUUUUCUAUAUUGCAUAUACUCUGUUCCAGUGCAGGAAGUUGACCAUUGUAUGUAUCAUAUUGUUGAUUGUAUGUAUUCCAUAGAUUUCACAUAGGAAAUCUUCCACUGAUCAACACAGCACUUUUCAAUCUAAAAGACUGCAUCUCCAAUUUUAAAAUGAUUUUCUUAUUUUAUUGAAAUGUUUAUUUUAGUUAUACGAGUACUGUAUGUU